GAGCUCACCAAGAAUAUUGAGCGAGAGAAAGUGGAAAUCACAACUUUUGAUAAAAAAGAAAACAUGCUAUGAAGCUCCGAAAUAAUGGUUGGGAGAAGGCUGCUUAGCUAGCUAGCAAGGCUGAAGUCAUUAGCUAGCUACACGAAUCAAUAGAGGAAGAGUUUUUGAGAGGCUGCAAUUACAUUGCGAGGCAAAGGUAGGCAAAGCAAAGGUGCGGUAAGGGCAGGAGAAAGCAAAGUAAGACAGCUACCACAGGGUGUAUACAACCCAAUCUCAUCAAGAAACAAACCGCUUCCAAAAUUUGUACAUCCGAAAUAUCAAUCCGCCAAGAAAUCCUAUUUGUUAUAACAUAAACCAACGUUUACAUAAAUUUGAAUACAUGUUUCAUCCUACUAGAACGCUACAGAUCCUUGGAUUGAGGAGGUUGAAAAGCUGCAAAGUUGCAUUUUUUAUAAGAACCAGUAAGUUUUCCAAAAGAGGCGUCCCCUAGCAAGGUUAUAAUGUCAAAUUUUCUCCUUGUAAAGUUGUCUUUACAAUGAUCAAAAAUAACAUGCACACAAAGGCAAUAUUUAGCUUUGUAAGAGUUUACUACACCACUUUUUGUUAAAACUUCAUGUAACUGCAGGUAUAGCUUUCAAAAUAUUUAUUUUUCUUCUUGCUCAAUCCCAUCUUGGCUAUCUUUUUAUUUUUUUAUUUUAGCUCCAGUCUUUUUUAGUGGCACGUUACCCUGUUUAUGUAGCGCUUAAAACAUUUCUGAAUGUUGUAGCCAGAACAAAUGCCUUUUCUCACCAAAGUGAAAAUAAAUUCUUUAUAUGCAGAUGAUACAAUAAUUAUUUCGUUCCAUAAAAACUUGGAUACCCUUGUCUCCCAGGUUGAGUUAAAACUUUCACAAGUCGACCUCUGGCUGAAUAAUAACAAAAUGACUAUUAAUACGGACAAAUCUGAAACAAUCUUUUUCAGCAACCACAGCCAGUUAAAAAAAAGUUGAGAAAAAAAUUAUCAACUAUAUAUGGGUAUUUCUUUGUAGAGGUGCGAAAAGUUAAAUAUUUUGGGGUAACAUUUGAUCAAAAAAUGCAAUGGAAAGUGCACAUUAAUGACAUAAAAUAAAAAUUAAUUAAUGCAUUUGUCAUUCCAUAUUUAAACUACUGAUCCUUGGCAUAGGCUUGUGACACCCAAGGUAGAUUGAGAAAACUAGGAAAACGAAUAAAAUUUGUCCACACCUUUCUUGGGAAAGAAAGGGAAUAUUUUUGCUAAAUAAUUUACUCAUCAAAAACGAUGCCAUAUUAGUUUUCAAGGCCAUGAAUCACAUUGCUCCUGAUUACAUGUGCUCAAAAUUCCUUUUAGCAAAAAACUGUCAUAAUUAUCAAACAAGAGGAGCUUCAAAAAACAGGUUCACGCUUCCCUUGGUCAACGUGGAAUUUGACAAAUAAGCCUUUUCAUUUACAGCUGCAAAAGUGUGGAAUAAUCUUCCAGACCAAGUGACCUGUAAUGGAAGUCUGCUUUUGUUUAAGACUUCCAUCUCUUAUGGCAAAUUCUAAUGGAGAUCACUUUUUAGUUUUUGUUUUUUAUUCUUUUUCUUUUCAAUUUUCACAGAUUAUAAAUGUUACUAUGUUUGUUUGAUUGGCAGUCUAAGGUUUAUCAUUUUUUGUUUCUUUAUUGUUCUAGUGGCCCCCAAUGGAAACAAUCUACUAACUAUAGGUUUUUGUGAUUUUCUGGUAUUAUUAUUAUUAUUAUUAUUAAAGUUCUCUAUAAAUGAUUAUUUUUUUAAAAAAAAUUAAAAUAAAUUUGCAUAAAGUUCUUUACGAACAAAUAUUUUUUUUAUAAAAUAGAAAUAAUUCUGCAUAUGUUCUUACAUAUCUAAACAAUCAAACAAAAAAUAAAUUAUGCAUGAUUUUUAUUUUAAAGGACUUCUUAUUUAAGACGCAAGUUGUGCAUGAUUUUUAUUUUUGAAAUUUACUGAUUAUUUAACAUGUCACACAUUUGUUUAUAAUUUUUAUUUCAAAAGGAUAUAUUUUGGAAGGCAAAUAAAAGUAGCAAAGUAUCAACUUGUAACUAUAAGGCCAUAAAAAGUGAUGGGAAAAGUUAAAGAGGGAAGGGACAGGGGACUGCACAAUUAGCAUUAAGGGCGGUUACAACCGUUGUAAUUUGAGAUGGCACUCUGCAUUUGCUGAUGUAAUUAUUGACAUAUUUUCAAAACAUAUAACGUUGCGUCUGCAAUGGUGAAAUCGCACAUAGGAAGUCCUCAGGCCUUGUGCGAUCAGACGUGUUAAAAAAAAUAAAGAUAUAACAACGGAAAAAAGUAUUUGUUUUUCCAUAACAUAGUUCAGUUGCUUCUUUGGCAAUGCACGAAAAAUAAAACCAGUUAACAUAUUUUUUGCGCUUCAACUGCAUCAUUAAAAACAGUUUGUCACUAUUUGUGGUUUGAUUGAAUCAUUGCAGAAAACGCUAAAAUAAGUUAACAAAAUGUCAUUUUUCUGCAUUGAACUUUAAUAUUUAAGCAUUAAACUAUUAUUAUUUCUUUUCUUUUUUGCUUUUCUUCAGUAAUUUUUUUUUAAGAGGUAGCUAAAACAUUUUUUGUGUUUUGUUAAGUUUAAAAAUUUAGAAGCUGCCACAGUAUUCUAAUAAGUGCGAAAAUUGCGACGACAGUUAUUUAUAGACACUAAAAAUGCUGAAUUAUGAGGGUUUCGCCGUACAAUGUAUGCUUUUAAAAGGUCUUAUUAUGGAGGUGCAGAGCAGUUCUGAACCAAAAGGCCUGGGGACAAGGUUAGCAUACUCUAAAUUUGAAACUGAUUACCCCAAAUUUUCGUAUCUAAACAUUCUUAGGACGAAACCAGCAGUGUUGAUGCUUGCGCUACAUGUUGAUAAAAUAUCGUCAAAAAACAAACUUUAAUUACGCAGUAAUUUCUGUUUCUUCCAUUAUCGUGGGAUGAAUUAAAGUAGUGUUCUUUUCUAUUGAUUUUAAAUAUUUUUCAAUAAAGUAUAUAUCCAUCUGUCAGGUAACUUAGGCAACCUCUUCCUCAAGGAAGGUUGCAAUACUCAUUUGAGAAUCAUACCCCGCCUAGGUCAACAAGUUAUGGAUCAGUAAUUUUUACAACCUGUUUGUUCAAAUGAAUUCUUUUAAAUUUGAAAUAAGAAAAUAAUGCACACCUGCUGCUAUUAUAUUAUUAUUUUCGUUUUAUUGCUUAGACGGCUAGUAUAUCACGUUGAAUUAUUUUUUUAAACAAAAACAAAAAUCAUUUGUACAGAAAUCCAUUUUUGGAAAGUUUGAAUUUUUUUAACUUUGUUGCUACAGCAUAUUUGUUUUUGGCUAUGAAAGUUAUUAAUUAUAGCGAAUGAAAGUCAUUAAUUUCUGAGCGCUACAUAAAAAUGACAUAACAGGGUCACGUGCCACUAAAAAAGACUGGAGUUAGUCUGAAAUUUUUAAUGAACAAGAAGAUCGAAGCAGCCAUCAAGGUGGCAAGAAAAACAAAUAUUUAAAAAACGAUAUCUGGGGCCACAUGAAGUUUUAACAAAAAGUAAAUAUGUCAUUGGGAAUUACUUAUGAAAAUCUUUCUGGUAAGUUCAACUUGUAAAAGUACCUUAGGAUCCCUUUAAUAGGCUGGUUGUAUUUUAGGUGUGAAAUCCCACUGUAGGACAUUGCCCAUCUUCUUUUCAUCACAGCCUCUCAGUUUUGCAAGAAACAGUCAUUUAAUUUAAAAGUAGUUGAAAAGAAUGUUUAAAAGUUAUACACAAUAUUUACAUCCAGAUGGACAUUUUAUGGCAUCUAAUCUGCUAAGUAAGCUUCUGCGUAAAAGGAAAGUUUUUUGAAGUCCCAGUCCUGUGAUUUAUGUUUCAAUUUCAAGAUGAAUUUAGACCCAUUGAAAUUACUUUGAUGUCAUUAUCUGUCAGCCAUCUAAAUUAUACUCUUGUCUGCCAAUUUAAAAACUGAGUUUUAAAGGGGUUUUAAUCGAAAACAUAUUUCUAAUUGACCUUAAAAUCAUAGUAAUACCCCUGGUAAAUAAAUAAAUAGUCUAUGCUCAUAGACAUGCAAGGCAAUGAUGUGGAAAAUAUAUAUGGCUUCAUAUAUGUUGCUUAUAUUUUUGUAAAGAACACUUUGCACAACAGAUAUUAAAUAACAUUUAAAAUUUUACGACAAUUUGAUUUAAUAAUUUUUGCUGCUUAAUUUUCAUGUUCUUGCAAGUAUUUUUAGCUUUUUUUCUCUGGUUGGUUAUUUUAGGGUAUUUACUUCUGGAGAAUUAUAUUAAAAGCUCAACUAAUAAAAACAAUAACUUUUAAUGAGAUGAAUAAUUUUUUUUAUGCUAGGAUCAAUGUCAUGAUAAAUCUUAAGCAUUAUAAAAUAGAUUUUUUUUUUGGUAAAACAAAUUUUCACAUAUAUUAGAUGAUUUUAAUUUUUCUCACUAUUUUGAUACAAGACAAUUUUUUUAAAUUCAUCUCAAAUAAGGAAAACAUUAAAUCAAAUUGUGAAACGAAUACGGGAUCAUCUUCAAGAUACUUAUAUAUACUUUUAAAGAUCUUAUCCUUGCUAUUAUACUUGCCAAAACACUUUUAGGCCAAUUUACAUUUCAUUUCUUAUCUUCAAUUCACGUUUUUUUUCAAUUUACCUACCUGCUUUGUUAAUGUUGUGCUUUUUACGUUGGCAAUUGCUAAUUGCCUGGCUUAUGAUAGUAUUUUUAUUUGACAUUAUAUCAAAAGUGUCUGCUUAAAAUCUAAUUACUCUACUUUUACCAUUCUGUUCAAAGUUUCUGAAAAAAGUUUAGAUAUUACAUGACAAUGCCAACAAUCGCCCUAAAAGCUGAUAUUUCCUAUUUUUUUGAUAAAAUCCAAAAUAAUUGAAAAACCAGGUUAAUGACAUGUCACAACUCUCUAAAAUGUUUCCUUUUUUCAUAAAAUAAAAUUUUAUAUGUUGUUAGUUUCAAGUUCUAAUCAUAAUAAGUUCAAGGGUUUGUUUUAAUUAAUAGCCUAUACUAAGGCACUGGAAGAUAUAGGAUCUUAAUUUGGCAGGCAGAUAUCUAAUAGAUAAAUAUAAAAAAUCAGUAUUGUAUAAUAGUUAUUGCACAGAGCAAAAAAAGCUAUUAAAAAAACUGGCUGGCGUGUGGAAUCCACCCACUCCUAUCCAAGGCCAAAACAGGUUUUACAAAUCCUUGAAUUUACUACAUCUCCAUUCUUUUAUUAAUAUUUUUAUUGAGAAUUUUUUUAAGAUGAUAGGCUGUCAUAAAAUCUUUUUUUAUUUUUUUUAUGAAAUCCAUGAAUUUCCUUGUCAGCAAGUAAUAAAUUACUUUACAUGGCUACAUCCAACCAUUUUAAACACACAAAAUAUGGUUUAUUACAAGGAUUUGCAACAUUAUUUUUUAGGAUUCUUUAAAUUAUUCGACAGACCUUUUUACACUUUAAGUUAUUCCAGAUAGAUUUUUAGUUAAUCACAAUUAGAGAAAGAAUUCUGUCAUGCAUCGAUCACAUCAGGGAAAUCACACAGUACACAGAUGUAUCAAAACAACCUCAUCCCCAUGAUUCUGUCUCGUGUAUCCAUGGGAAUUAGGUUUAUGUUUAAUUUUUAUUUUUUUUUUAUUUUAAAAUGAACUACAAGAUGUGAUAAAAAGCUUUAAAGAUUUCAAAAUGAACAUAGUAAUAGAUGGUCAUCCAAGCAGCACUACCUAUCUCUAUAUGCAACAUUUAUCUUUUUUUAUAAUUCUGUUUUUUCCUCAAAUAUAAAUUUUGUAGCUAAAUAAAUUUUGGUGUGUAUUUGAAAGAUCAUUAUUUUAUUUUUUA